GCUCCCUACGGGGCGCAGCAGUGGGGAAUAUUGCACAAUGGGGGAAACCCUGAUGCAGCAACGCCGCGUGAGUGAAGAAGUAUUUCGGUAUUUAAAGCUCUAUCAGCAGGGAAGAAAAUGACGGUACCUGACUAAGAAGCUCCGGCUAAAUACGUGCCAGCAGCCGCGGUAAUACGUAUGGAGCAAGCGUUAUCCGGAUUUACUGGGUGUAAAGGGAGCGCAGGCGGUACGGCAAGUCCGAUGUGAAAACCCGGGGCUCAACCCCGGGACUGCAUUGGAAACUGCCGCACUAGCGUGCCGGAGAG
rnacentral:rRNA from 1 species